rnacentral:rRNA from 1 species
UACGGAGGGUGCGAGCGUUAAUCGGAAUAACUGGGCGUAAAGGGAACGCAGGCGGGUUUUUAAGUGAGGUGUGAAAUCCCCGGGCUUAACCUGGGAAUAGCAUGUCAGACUGGGAGUCUAGAGUACUGUAGGGAGGGGUAGAAUUCAACGUGUAGCGGUGAAAUGCGUAGAGAUGUGGAGGAAUACCGAAGGCGAAGGCAGCCCCUUGGGAUUGUACUGACGCUCAUGUGCGAAAGCGUGGGGAGCAAACAGG